GUGGGGAAUAUUGGACAAUGGGCGAAAGCCUGAUCCAGCAAUGCCGCGUGAGUGAUGAAGGCCUUAGGGUUGUAAAGCUCUUUUACCAGGGAUGAUAAUGACAGUACCUGGAGAAUAAGCUCCGGCUAACUCCGUGCCAGCAGCCGCGGUAAUACGGAGGGAGCUAGCGUUGUUCGGAAUUACUGGGCGUAAAGCGCACGUAGGCGGUUACUCAAGUCAGAGGUGAAAGCCCGGGGCUCAACCCCGGAACUGCCUUUGAAACUAGGUAGCUAGAAUCCUGGAGAGGUGAGUGGAAUUCCGAGUGUAGAGGUGAAAUUCGUAGAUAUUCGGAAGAACACCAGUGGCGAAGGCGGCUCACUGGACAGGUAUUGACGCUGAGGUGCGAAAGCGUGGGGAGCAAACAGGAUUAGAUACCCCAGUAGUCC
rnacentral:rRNA from 1 species